UACGUAGGGAGCAAGCGUUGUCCGGAAUCAUUGGGCGUAAAGCGCGCGUAGGUGGCCUCGUAAGUCCGCUGUGAAAGUCAAAGGCUCAACCUUUGAAAGCCGGUGGAUACUGCGGGGCUAGAGUACGGAAGAGGCGAGUGGAAUUCCUGGUGUAGCGGUGAAAUGCGCAGAUAUCAGGAGGAACACCGAUGGCGAAGGCGGGUCUCUGGGCAGUAACUGACGCUGAGGAGCGAAAGCGUGGGGAGCGAACAGG
rnacentral:rRNA from 1 species